UGGUCGAUGGUGUAAUUGGCAGCACAGCAGAUUUUGGUUCUGUUAGUCCUGGUUCGAGUCCAGGUCGACCAG
rnacentral:tRNA from 2 species